rnacentral:rRNA from 1 species
AUUGAACGCUGGCGGCGUGCCUAACACAUGCAAGUCGAGCGGUAACAGGUGUAGCAAUACAUGCUGACGAGCGGCGAACGGGUGAGUAAUGCUUCGGAAUCUACCCAAUGGUGGGAAUAACCAGCCGAAAGGUUGGCUAAUACCGCAUACGUCCUACGGGAGAAAGACAGGGGAUCGUAAGACCUUGCGCCAAUGGAUGAGCCGAAGUC